AGGACGGAAUCUAUUUGCAUUGUCAUUUCUUAAUUCUACAUUCUUCACAUAGUUCAGCAAAAUCCAUGUAAACAUUCCACUUGACAAAAUAGGUGUAAGAGCCACCAAAAUUAUAUUUGUACUCAUCAGCCAACCAAACUAGAUAAGAUUGAUGAAGGUAAGAAGUUCAUUCUGCAAGGAACCAGGUAUAAAUAUUUACUGAGAGAUACAGAUACAGCCUGUCAAAUACAAAAGUGAAUGCUGGGACAUACCAGUUAACUGAAAACAGACCUCUUGUUGGUAAAUUUUGAAAAAGGAUUCAAAGAGCUGAAGGUGCUUUCAACCCGAGAAGAAUAACAAUGCCAGUGACCAGCGCUUUCUUAUAAUAGACAGAUUUACAAAGAAAGUACAUGGACUAACCUAUGGCUCCAAAUGCAUAUGUGGCAGAAAAUGGCCUUUUUGGGCAACAUUGGAAAGAGAAGCUCUUGUAUUCCCUACUUUGUCUCCCAGUUCAAGGGAAUGCAUUGCGGCAGAAAGGCUGGUUUGAAAAGAAGGAAAUGGAACGGGUAGGAACCUUAUGGGCAGGAAACUGGGAAAGGAAAUAAUAUUUUAAAAGUAAAUAUAGAAACAUCCAGUUAUAAAACAAUAAAUUUUGGUAAAAAAUAAAAAAAAGAAUGAUAUGAAAGAAAGAAAGCUGCCAAGUAAAAAGACAUCUUGACACAGAAAUCUGAAGUGUUAUUCAGAGUAAUACUAGUGGAAAGACUGAGAUGAUGAAGUCUCAACUACAAAUACUUCUCUAUCCCAGAUAUCAGUGUGAGAGACAAACUGUACUAUAGGUAUCCAAAGCGUGGAGGAGUUUAUUCAGAACUAGGGAUACAAUACUUGUUUUUCCCUUCUUCCUUAGGACCUUUUCUUCUUGAAAAAAAGAGUAAGGGUCAUGAGUUCUCAGGAAAACAACUGUGCCCUUCACAACACUUGGCUUUUGGUAUAAAGAAAUUAAUGAUAUAAACUCUCUUAUUUCAAGGAACCAUAAGAACAGGGAAGUCCAGAUAAGAACAGAGAUGUGCAAAUGCUUCUGAGAGUCUCCCAGCUCCUGAUUCCCUUAUGUGGAAGACUCAGAUCAAUGCUAUCUCUUCAGCGAUAUCACUCAAACCCUACAAAGGACUCACUGAACUUUCCAAAGGACCACAUAUUUCUUCCUUGUUUUUUAUACCAGGAAAGAAGAUCAGCUUUUUUCUCCCUAUUUCUAUUCUCUUCAUCGUCUUUGUUAUCACUCCCAAAUGUGCUCUGAAGUAGAGGCCUAUUAGUAAACCCUAGAAGUACUGAAAGAAUAUCUCAGAGGAAGUUGCAGUCACAACAACACUUGUGACAUCACAGAAGAAUCUAGUGCUCUCCAGGUUAGAAGAGAGUUUUCAGGGAAUGCCUAACAAUGAUGUCACUGAAAACUGUCAUGGCCUACCUGAUGAACACCUUUCCUUACAUUGACCAGAUUCAAGUUUGCACUUUAUAGGACCUUUUCUUCUUGCGAAAAAGUGUAAAGGUCAUGAGUUCUCAGGAAAACAACUGUGCCCUUCACAACACUUGGCUUUUGGAAUAAAGAAAUAAAUGAUAUAAA